rnacentral:lncRNA from 1 species
GAACACUAACUCGGAUACCAACUAUCACGAGGCUAGAACUUUCGUCUCGCAAUCCGUGCGGCCUUAAGUGGUUUCUUGGAUUCAAAUUUGUUUAAGUCGAUCUAGCUCUCGCAAAGUGAGAAUUCUCAAUAGAAAUUCUCUUCACGCACUGAAAAUAAAGCAGGAGCAACUCGAAAUGAAAGAGCAAUGAGAGAACUAAAAAGCCACAAGGAAGCAAUGCAC